rnacentral:lncRNA from 1 species
ACACAUGCACAUAGUAUUACAACUGUUGAUAUUAGUUUAUUCGGGGGUUUCCCAUUCAGACUUUUUCAUUUAAUCCAGUUGCUGUUUGAUAGCAACUGUGUAGAAUCGUGCUAUAUCUGACUAUAUUUUAAGUUUUUUUAUAAUCGUAUUCAUUAAUAAUGGAAAAGCAGUUUAUCCAUGAUGCUGAAUUCAAAAGAGAAGUUAUAUUGUGUGCCAAAGAAAUUGGAAAUUGUGGAGCCAGUAAAAGAUUUACAGUUGACGAAAAGAAUGUGCAUCAUUGGAGAGCCAUGAAGAAAAAGUUAUUUCAGUGUAAAAAAAAAUCAUUCUCAGGGCCUAAAAAAAAGGAAAGUUUCCUGCAAUUAAUGCAGUUGUUUUAUUUUAUAUAAAGGAAUUAUGUGGUAAAGAUUUGCCAGUGAUAAGAGAGACAGUUAUGGUAUAUGUUUAAUGUAAUAUAAUUUAAAAAAAAAAAACUCUGAUGUAUUACAAUAUUAGAACACUUUGUUAAAUUUUUUUUAAUUUUGAUGUUCUAGAAUGUUUUGAA